CCCCAUACUCCUACUUUAUUCAUCAUUUAUUAAUAUUUUUCAAUUUACUCAAUUCUUAACCAUCCAUUCCUCUUUCAUUAUUACUUCUCUAUUAUUUUUAAACUUCUUUUUUACUAUUUUAAACCCCUAUACUUUUAUCUUUUUUAAAUUAUCUUACUAAUAAGUAUCUUCUAACUCCUUGCCAUCAUCCUCUUUAAUACGGAUUAUCCGAGCUUUAUCCUGAUUUAUUGGGUUUAAAGGGUGAGUAGGAGGUUUGAUAAGUUAGAGGUGAAAUGUAGGGGAUCAAAAAAGAAAAUGAAUAUAAUAAUGUUGGAAUAGAGAAUAGUUGAGGUAGGAGGAAUGUAUGGUGUAGAGGUGAAAUGAUUAGAGAUAAUAAAGAAAAAAGAUUGAGAAGGAAGAUUAAAAAAAUAUAGAUGAAGUUGAGGAAAGAAAGAGUGGGUAGAAAAAAGGAUUAGAUAAAAAUGUAGAA
rnacentral:rRNA from 1 species